GAAGAAAAGAAGGGGAAGAAGAUCAAAGAAGGAAAGAAGAAGGGGAAGAAAAGAAGGGGAAGAAGAUCAAAACCCACCAUGCCCCAGGCUCAGCAGGGAGCUGCUGGAUGAGAAAGGGCCUGAAGUCUUGCAGGACUCACUGGAUAGAAGUUAUUCAACUCCUUCAGGUUGUCUUGAACUGACUGACUCAUGCCAGCCCUACAGAAGUGCCUUUUACGUAUUGGAGCAACAGCGUGUUGGCUUGGCUG
rnacentral:lncRNA from 1 species